UACGAAGGGUGCUAGCGUUGUUCGGAAUCACUGGGCGUAAAGCGUGCGUAGGCGGCUUGACAAGUCCGAUGUGAAAGCCCGGGGCUUAACCCCGGAUGUGCAUUGGAAACUGUCUUGCUGGAGGUCGGAAGGGGAAAGCGGAAUUCCUAGUGUAGAGGUGAAAUUCGUAGAUAUUAGGAGGAACACCAGUGGCGAAGGCGGCUUUCUGGUCCGAAUCUGACGCUGAGGCACGAAAGCGUGGGGAGCAAACAGG
rnacentral:rRNA from 1 species